rnacentral:rRNA from 3 species
GGAUAACAACAUGAAUCGCAUGAUUCAAGUUUGAAAGGCGGCGCAAGCUGUCACUUUAGGAUGAGCCCGCGGCGCAUUAGCUAGUUGGUGGGGUAAAGGCCUACCAAGGCAAUGAUGCGUAGCCGAGUUGAGAGACUGAUCGGCCACAUUGGGACUGAGACACGGCCCAAACUCCUACGGGAGGCAGCAGUAGGGAAUCUUCCACAAUGGACGCAAGUCUGAUGGAGCAACGCCGCGUGA